rnacentral:rRNA from 1 species
GGAAUCUUCGGCAAUGGACGGAAGUCUGACCGAGCAACGCCGCGUGAGUGAAGAAGGUUUUCGGAUCGUAAAGCUCUGUUGUAAGAGAAGAACGAGUGUGAGAGUGGAAAGUUCACACUGUGACGGUAUCUUACCAGAAAGGGACGGCUAACUACGUGCCAGCAGCCGCGGUAAUACGUAGGUCCCGAGCGUUGUCCGGAUUUAUUGGGCGUAAAGCGAGCGCAGGCGGUUAGAUAAGUCUGAAGUUAAAGGCUGUGGCUUAACCAUAGUACGCUUUGGAAACUGUUUAACUUGAGUGCAAGAGGGGAGAGUGGAAUUCCAUGUGUAGCGGUGAAAUGCGUAGAUAUAUGGAGGAACACCAGUGGCGAAGGCGACUCUCUGGUCUGUAACUGACGCUGAGGCUCGAAAGCCAGGGGAGCGAACGG